rnacentral:tRNA from 1 species
AGGGGUGUGGCUCAGUGGUGGAGCACUUGCCUAGCAUGUGUGAGGCCCUGGGUUCAAUUCUCAGCACCACAU